AAUGAACGCUGGCGGCAGGCCUAACACAUGCAAGUCGAACGGUAGCACAGAGAGCUUGCUCUCGGGUGACGAGUGGCGGACGGGUGAGUAACGUCUGGGAAACUGCCCGAUGGAGGGGGAUAACUACUGGAAACGGUAGCUAAUACCGCAUAACGUCGCAAGACCAAAGUGGGGGACCUUCGGGCCUCACACCAUCGGAUGUGCCCAGAUGGGAUUAGCUAGUAGGUGGGGUAAUGGCUCACCUAGGCGACGAUCCCUAGCUGGUCUGAGAGGAUGACCAGCCACACUGGAACUGAGACACGGUCCAGACUCCGACGGGAGGCAGCAGUGGGGAAUAUUGCACAAUGGGCGCAAGCCUGAUGCAGCCAUGCCGCGUGUAUGAAGAAGGCCUUCGGGUUGUAAAGUACUUUCAGCGGGGAGGAAGGCGGUGAAGUUAAUAGCUUCACCGAUUGACGUUACCCGCAGAAGAAGCACCGGCUAACUCCGUGCCAGCAGCCGCCGUAACAA
rnacentral:rRNA from 1 species